CAAGUUUGGUUUCAAAGCCUGUGAAUCUUUUUCUGUUUUGUAAAUAAGUUCAUUUGUAUCAUUUUUUAUUAGUUUCCACAUGUAAGAGAUACCAUAUGAUAUUUGUUUUUCUCUGACUUAACUUAGUAUGAUAAUCUCUAAGUCCAUCCAGGUUACUGCAAAUGGCAUUAUUUCAUUCUUUUUUAUGGCUAAGUAAUAUUCAAUUGUGUACCACAUCUUCUUUAUUCAUUCAUCUCUUAAUGGACAUUUAGCGUAGGAGUGUUCCCUUUUCUCUACACGCUCUCCAGCAUUUAUUGUUUGUAGACUUCUCGAUGAUGGCCAUUCUGACUGGUGUGAGGUGCUACUUCACUGUAAUUUUGAUUUGCAUUUUUCUAAUUAGCGAUGUUGAGCACCUUUUCAUGUGUGUUUUUGGCCAUCUAUAUGUCUUCUUUGGAGAAAUGUCUAUUUAGGUCUUCUGCCAACUUUUUUUGAUUGAGUCAUUUAGGUUUUUUGAUAGCUGAAUGACCUGUUUGUAUACUUUGGAGAAUAUUCCCUUCUUGGUCUUUUCAUUUGCAAAUAUUUUCUCCCAUUCUGUGGGUUGUCUUUUUGUAACUUCCUCUUUUGCUACCAGCCAGAGUAAACUACUUUUAAAGAGUUCAUAUGAUUAGAUCAGGCCCACCAAGAUCAACUAUCAUACGACUAACCCAAUUAUAGCCCCCCAGCAGACUGCCUCUUGUUUUUGCAGCAAGGCCUCUAAUGGUGCCCCCAAUUCAUGCCUUCCUUUCCAAAGUCAUCAGAUUUUAGCUGAGUACAUAGGCCCACAUAAUAAAGAGUUCAUGUCCCAGUCUCCCUUGCAGCUGAAUGUGGCCAUGUGACUAAGUACCAGCUAAAGGGAAAUCAGUGGAAGUGUCCAGUCCAAAUACCUUCCUUGAGAGACCCUUCCUCAAGAGACUAUUCCUUUGCCCCUCUGUCUUCCCCCCUCCCUCCAUCCUAGAAUACCUCCCUGCUGUCUUAGGGAGUGAGGAUGAGGGGCUACACAGCAGUGGUGGAUGGGGCUGGAGGCAGAGCUCCCUCCCAGGCUGGACCACAGGGCUCUUUCACAUGAGCAGAGGGUAAACAUCUGUCACCAGGAGCAUUUCACUGGCGGGAGCUGGGCCACAUGCCUGUGCCUGCAAAGCAUCAUCAUGAUGGUCCAGCCCCCGCAAGCCUCACCUUGGGGCUGGGCAGAAACCCAGGGGAGCUGAGGCAUGGGGGGCCAUUUCGUAGCAGUCAGCAGUGUCUGCCAGAGAAGCAGGGGGAGAGCCAGGACUUGGGGAGCCCAAGUGGAACCCUUUAAGCAUAUCUUGUACUGUCUGCAUUGUCAUCCUCAGGGCAGUUGGGUAGAAACUCGAUUCACUCUUUUUUUUUUUUGGUAUUUUUAGGGCAGCACUUGCAGGAUAUGAAGGUUCCCAGGCUAGGGGUAGAAUCAGAGCUGCAGCUGCUGGCCUCUGCCACAGCCACAGCCACAGCAACUGCCAUAUCCUAGCUGCAUCUGUGACCUACACCACAGCUCAUGGCAACGCCAGAUCCCUAAUCCACUGAGCAAGGCCAGGGAUUGAAACUGAGCCCCUGUAGAUACAAGUUGGAUUCGGUAACCAGUGAGCCACAAGGGAAUGCCUCACUUCACUCUUUAAAGUAAAACGUACUAAGGUACUAAGGUAAGUCCCCUGAUUAAAAGUGCACAGUGCUUCCACAACCAAAGAAGAGUAAUUUCUACUGUUUGGGAUUGCACAAGAAAUUUUCUGAGUUUGGAGAAAGACCAUUUGAAGUAUUUCUAAUAGAUUACCUUGAAUUUUCUAUAAACUUGAUCACCUCUAAUUCUUUUAUCAGCUUCUAAUACAUACAUUUCUAUUUUUUUUUGUCUUUUUUUUUUUUUUGCGGGGGGGCAGCUACCCCCAUGGCAUAUGGAGGUUCCCAGCCUAGGGGUCGAAUCAAACCUGUAGCUGUUGGCUUACACCAUUAGCCACAGCAAUGCCAGAUCUGGGGCAUAUCUGCAACCUAUACCACAGCCCACAGCAAUGCCAGAACCUUAACCCACUGAGCAAGGCCAGGGAUCAAACCUGCGUCCUCAUGGAUACUAGUCAGAUUCGUUUCUGCUGACCCACAAUGGGAACUCCCCCAUACACUUCUUUAAAAUUAUAUUUGUUACCUAUUUUCUGUUAUGUUAUACAUAUUAAUAGAAAACAUGGAGAGCUCCCCAUUUGGUGCAAUGGGAUCAGCAGCAU
rnacentral:lncRNA from 1 species